GAUAAACGCUGGCGGCGUGCAUGAGACAUGCAAGUCGAACGAACAAUCCAGGGCUUGCCCUGGGGCGUUAGUGGCGAACGGCUGAGUAACGCGUGGGUGACCUGCCCGGAAGUGGGGAAUAACUGCCCGAAAGGGUGGCUAAUACCGCAUGUGGUCAUAAGUUCAUUCUUCUGACCAAAGCCUUCGGGCGCUUCUGGAGGGGCCUGCGUUCGAUUAGCUCGUUGGUGAGGUAACGGCUCACCAAGGCGACGAUCGAUAGGUGGUCUGAGAGGAUGAUCACCCAGACUGGGACUGAGACACGGCCCAGACUCCUACGGGAGGCAGCAGUCGGGAAUUUUGCCCAAUGGGGGAAACCCUGAGGCAGCAACGCCGCGUGAGGGAUGAAGGCCUUCGGGUUGUAAACCUCUUUUCUCAGGGACGAUAAUGACGGUACCUGAGGAAUAAGCCACGGCUAACUACGUG
rnacentral:rRNA from 1 species